rnacentral:tRNA from 1 species
GAGGGUAAAGCUCAGUGGUAGAGUGUCUGCUUAGCAUGCACAAGGUCCUGGGUUCAAUCCCCAGUGCUGCCA